GUGCAGCCAAGGCCGUGUCGUUGGUGCUGCCGCAGCUGAAGGGUAAACUCAACGGCAUUGCACUCCGUGUGCCGACCCCGAACGUCUCAGUGGUUGACCUUGUUGUGAACGUUGCGAAGAAAGGUUUGACAGCAGAGGACGUUAACGAGGCGUUUAGAAAAGCGGCGGAUGGACCGCUAAAGGGCGUUUUAGCCGUUUGCGACAUACCGCUUGUCUCUUGUGACUUCAGGUGCU
rnacentral:lncRNA from 1 species